rnacentral:rRNA from 1 species
CGGGACACGUGGUAUCCUGUCUGAAUAUGGGGGGACCAUCCUCCAAGGCUAAAUACUCCUGACUGACCGAUAGUGAACCAGUACCGUGAGGGAAAGGCGAAAAGAACCCCGGCGAGGGGAGUGAAAAAGAACCUGAAACCGUGUACGUACAAGCAGUGGGAGCCUCUUAAUGGGGUGACUGCGUACCUUUUGUAUAAUGGGUCAGCGACUUAUAUUCUGUAGCAAGGUUAACCGAAUAGGGGAGCCGAAGGGAAACCGAGUCUUAACUGGGCGUUAAGUUGCAGGGUAUAGACCCGAAACCCGGUGAUCUAGCCAUGGGCAGGUUGAAGGUUGGGUAACACUAACUGGAGGACCGAACCGACUAAUGUUGAAAAAUUAGCGGAUGACUUGUGGCUGGGGGUGAAAGGCCAAUCAAACCGGGAGAUAGCUGGUUCUCCCCGAAAGCUAUUUAGGUAGCGCCUCGUGAAUUCAUCUCCGGGGGUAGA